AAAUAUAUUGAUAAAAGAUUGCUUUCUAGAAAGUUUGACUAUGAUAAAACUAUAUAUAUAUUUUAAUGCUUUACUUAUAGAUGUGAAGGCCCAGCAUAAAGAAGGUUGAAAGCUGAGGCUGGCAAGAAAAUAUUCACCACUUCAACCCCUGAGAAGUUUCUGUCUGACCCUAAUGCUCAAAUAAUCCUUAGCCAUGGAUUUUGCGUUGGAAUCCGGUAAUUUAAGAAAGAGGACGACAUGGGAUCCAGGAAACAGGAGAACAAUGAAGGGAUGUCUUAUGGCAUCUCUUUAGUAGGCCUAAAGAGGAACCAGUCAAGAUGGAAGAUUUGGGAGGGAAAACUCCAGGAAAAAAAGGAAUGUAACAGAAUAGAAGGUGAAAUGGAAAGAGAAGAGGUACAUAGUUAUACCGGACACUUACAUUUCAAAGUGCGAAAUUUACCUGAGCACCUGAUCCACCUCAGCCUGGUUGGAAGGAGCUAAGCCCUGAAGCUCCUCGGUGAUGGUUUCGUUGACCCACCGCACCGCAGUGCUGACGGCAUCUGACCUUUCUAAUUCCUCUGCUUCAGCUAGCUCGGGUAAAGCGUUCUCAUGGACUUCGAAGCACCGGAUACUUUAAUGGUGAAGACUUAUGCAGAGGCUGUAUUUCACUAACCAUCAGAUCCUGCGUAGAACUACAUGUUCAGAGAGGAUUGUUGGAACCUCAGUAACAGCAGUUUCAUUGAUGUGGAAGAGCAGAGGUCAUUUGGAAGUGAUCCAAGAAAGAGACGGAAGAAAGAGAAUGAAGCUGAGGGAGAAAGUCCACUCAAGGAGCCUGAGUAAAAGGAUUCAGUACGGUGUCCCUACGCAGAGGGGCGGAAGCUGGGAGAGAAGGAAGAGGGGCGAGUGAAGGCCCACCCUCCUCACCCCCUUUAUCACCAGACAGUAUUCACUCUUCAUUUGCAUUUAGCAGACCAGGCCUCUUAUCUUUCACUUCAAAAUCCAGUGACCUCAACCUACAUAACAGGUCAUUCAUGCCCAUCAGCAGUGCGCCAGCACCAAGGCGGCGGCAGAACUAAAGCCAAAGCCAACUUUCACGCUGUCCAUGCAUUUGAAGGAUGAUGGUUUGUAUAUUACAGAGUAAGUACCUAAAUGAAGUCAGAUAGAAUCGGGAGAAGAAAAAUACGAUCUAGCUUAUACUUUGUGAGUUCAGUUCAACAAGCAAUGAGCACCUACAAUGUACCGCAUAUUGUGUUAGGAGGAGAAUGGAACUAACUUUUAAAAAAUGCUUAGGAUGUACCUUGAAGGAGUGACUUUGUCUUGUUUAUCACUGUAUCACAUACCACAAUGCCUGGCAUAUUUAGGAUUCCAUAAAUUAAAUCUUGUAUAAAUUCAUAAAUGUCAGACACAAACCUUGGGCACAUUUGUAUACACUACGUCAUUAAAUUCUCAAACUCUCAAUUGUAAGUUUUAUGCAAUAGUAGUAUGGCUGUUGCCCACAGGGAUCUUUCCCAUCCCUGAAUUCCUCUGAUAUGUAAGAGAAGCAUAGAAGAAAUGGCAUUUGAGCUGGACACCGGAGGUUGUGUAGUAUUUCAACAGGCAGACAAGAGGGAGAAACUGAGGGCAGGAACUUCAGGUAGAGGGUAUAGGAUAAGUGAAGGGGAGGAAAUUGGGAAACUUCACGCUGUAGGGGGAAGUCAGUGCGCCUGUGCGGAGGAGCGGUGGGGGAGGGGCAGGGGAGUUGAGCCUGUUACCGAGGUAGCCGGGCGAGUACUGUGAGUCACACACUGUAACGUGUUUGAUCUUACUCAGCAAUGCAAGGGGGAACCACAGGAAGUUUCUGGGCAAAAGAAUGAUGGUCAGAUUUGGGAUUAGGAACAUUGCUCUGGCAGCACUGUUGGGGAGGGACUUGAUAGAGGGGGAGACUAGGUGAGAAUAAGGAUGGCCCAAACCAGGUCAGGGCCUGGGAAGACAAAAAGGAGGUUGCCUUUAUGCCAAUCCAAUUCCUGAACAUCCUUCAAAGCCCAAGCCAAAACUCUCAGAUGCUACAGCCCACAGGGAUCUUCCCCACCCCUGAAUUCCUAUAACAGGCACACAGUGAUCUAUUCCUCAGUCUAGCACACAAUCCUAUAUCACCCUGUUACUCCAGUUAUCUUAUGUAUCGGUGGCUUUUGUCCCUAACUGAAGUAUAAACUCCCAGAGAGCUGUGCAAACCAAAGACCUGGCUACCUAAUAGGCUGGGAAGAGCAUUCCACUGGGGACAAGAGUCCAAGUUUCCAGUCUUACCUUUUGCACUAGGUAGCGGUGAGACAAGGGCUUGGUGUCUUUGUAAAAUGAGGAAGUCGUUAACUUUCAAGAAUUCCUCUAGCAAGAGACAGUGGAAAGAUAAUGGAAUUGGGAGUUGCAUUCACUCAUUCAUCCCACAAAUAGUUCUUGACUGUCCACUAUGUACUACGCACUCUACUAGGUACUAGGGAAACAGACCGGGUUUGAUUUCUCACUGUCAUUCACUGUGUCCCUUGGGAAAAUCAUUUAAAUUCACUGGGCCACAGUUCUUUAUUUGUAAACAGGAAUCAUAACGUUUACCUCACCGUGGUCCUAAGGAUGAAGUGAUAUCACAUAAAGCACAUAGCACAAGGUGCAUUGAUAAACACCUCCCCCCUUGCCCCUCCCCCAGUUUGAUGUAUAGGCCAGGACCGAGAAAAAUAAACAUUCGUAGAACAUCCCCUAUAUUAACUGCAUCUACAAGAUGUGGUUUUGAACCCUGUAAACACAUCAUGCUUCUUCACAGCAUUUAAAUACUCUGCUUGGUGUUGGCAUAUUGCCUCACCAUAGUGCAAAUUCCUACCAGUCCCAACCAUGAUGCCUUCCAGAAGGUGGGUGUUGGUUAGUACUUAUGGAUCUGGAAGUGAGAAAACGCUUGCCUUUGUUUCAACUGCCCACUGCUUAAGGCUAAGAUGUGUGCCAGAUGGUGCGCUGGGCACAGGGCUUAGGAGGGGUAUAUGAAAAGGCCGCCGCUCUCCACAGGAGCUCACAAGCUGCCCAGGGAGGAUUUCAGUACAUGCAGGGGACGCUACAAGGACGCUGAAGGACGAUUAGUCCUGGGCAAAGUGGGCAAGACUCUGAUCUAAAUUUUAAGUCUAGGUGCGAGCUGGUCGGGUGGGACGGGCAUCCAGGACGGGAAGGGCGCACAAGUCAAGGAGCGGACAUUUGAAAUCGACUGAAACUUGGCAACGAUG